UCCCAUGCAGGUCCUGUGCAUUUUGAGGGACCCCACUUCCACCUGGAUUGCUGACAAGGACUCACCCUCACAGUCUCACCCUCCCGGAUGUCGCUCCAUUGGGGAAAGCUAUGUGAGUGGCUCAAAAUGACAGAGGAAGACCCUGGGGCCCGGAGCCUGCAGCCAGCAGAGUGAAGGAGCAGAGCCCCAGUGGGGGCGGGGCGGAGCCAGCUUGAGGAAUGGGAGUGAGGACUGGCGGCUCUGGGCCCCAGGGACAUGGGAGGGAGGGUUCAGGCUGUCCCUGUGGAGAACGCUGUCACAUAAUUACAGCAAUUUCAUUUCCUUAUAUUGGGGCAAAUCUGUGUUCCCUAAAACAAACAAAAUGAAAGCAAUUUAAAAGCAAA